GUGCUCCCUUCAGCAGGACAUGUACUAAAAUUGGAGCAAUACAAGGAUUAGCAUGGUUCCUAUGCAAGGAUGACACAAAAAUUUGGGAAAUGUUCCAUAUUUUC
ensembl:snRNA U6 U6 spliceosomal RNA